CCCCUCUUAGGGCCAUAUCUGAAGAGUUUCCAGUACUCUACCAGUCUUGACAACAGGAGGGAGAGUCAAGCAGAACCCUACCCAUUCCAUUCCUAGCUUGGGAAGUGGCUAGUGAGUAGAAGGCAAUCUGCUACAAGU